CCCGGGCCACAUCAGCCAGAGCCUCAUGGCCUGGAGUGAUUUCCAUCCUGGCCUGCAGACUCAUCACUGUCACCUGUGACAAGGAUGGGCACGGAGCCAAGGAUCCCUCAGGUGAUGAGGAAGGGCGGCAGCCAGCUGUGCUCAGUGGCUGGAGGAGCUGAUUGAGAUCGAACUCAGACUGGCCUUGUCUGCAGUGCAACCUUCCAGCCACCUGGCACCCAGCUCUGUGACCCCGAGCAAGCAGCUCUCCAGCCCUUGCCAGGCCCCCAUCAGUUUCUCCAUUUACGACAAAAAGCACAAAAGGGACUUUACUCAAAAUUGAGGUCUACCAGCAUGGGCAUCUGAGUGGGUAGAGAUGCACUACCCUUGAAAAUACCGCCUUUGUCAGAAAUUUCAUUCCUGUUCUGCAAGAUGGGAGAUGAUGCGAAGUUGGCCUCAGAUGUUCUCCUGCAAGUACAAGUUGAGACCAGACAAAGAGGACAAACUGGCUGCACCUGAAUAACUCAAAGAUUGGACUAUGAACAUCCACAGCAUACACAGGUGUGGGGAACUACCAGCCCUGCCUCCAGCAAGAGUGAGGCCCACCACCUCCUUCCAAGGACACCACCAGUCCUGGGUGCCACAUCUCCCCAGGAGCUCGUUCCAGGGAGUUUUGAAGCAAGAACUUGUUAUUACCA
ensembl:lncRNA